ensembl:lncRNA
GAUAGCUCUCAACAACCUGCUGGCCUUUCAGGGGUUAUCACUGACGUUCUAACUUGAUUCUGCCUCUUCUAAUUAUGAGAACAGGGCUAAGUCCCCACCUAUCCCAUUAUUGAUGAUGCUACAUGUUGCAGGAGUGUGUUGGUUCAGUGCUCAAAAGUACAGUCCGGUGUGACAAUUACGACUUUGAACAUCGUUAAAAAGUUUCCUCUCUCCAGGAGCAUGGGGGCAGCUGGCUGAGAAGCCUCAAGCUGAUGGACCAUGAGUAGGUCCUUAUUGAUUAUCUAGUUUAUACAUGCUGCUGCUGCUGCUGCUAAGUUGCUUCAGUCGUGUCCGACUCUGUGCGACCCCACAGACGGCAGCCCACCAGGCUCCCCUGUUCCUGGGAUUCUCCAGAAUCCUGAUUAUCUUGAGGACUGCAAUGUUACCAGCUAAAACAUGUAUUUCAUAGCCUCUCUUAUAAAGAGAGGUAAGUAAAUUCUGGCCAAUGAGAUAGAAGUCAAGAUUUUUGGUGUGGAUCCCGGGAAAGCUUCUUAAAUGGUAGAUUGAUUCAAAUGGCUUUUGGCCUAUUACACACCCUCAUUCCCAUCUUGAACUUGGACCUGAUGGCUGGUACUGAACAGCCAUUUUGCAGCAAUGAGACUUUAUUUCAUGAACUAAGGAUGACGGAGCUAAAGGAUAGAGGAAGGAUGGCACAUUAAUAAAAUCGUGGAGUUGCUGUACCCGUUUUGGACUGUCUAAUUUUAGACGGUUUACACA